CCUACGGGUGGCAGCAGUGGGGAAUAUUGCACAAUGGGGGAAACCCUGAUGCAGCGACGCCGCGUGAGUGAAGAAGUAAUUCGUUAUGUAAACCUCUAUCAGCAGGGAAGAAAAUGACGGUACCUGAGUAAGAAGCCCCGGCUAACUACGUGCCAGCAGCCGCGGUAAUACAUAGGGGGCAAGCGUUAUCCGGAUUUACUGGGGGUAAAGGGAGCGUAGACGGCAUUGCAAGUCUGGAGUGAAAGGCGGGGGCUCAACCCCCGGACUGCUCUGGAAACUGUACGGCUGGAGUGCCGGAGAGGUAAGUGGAAUUCCUAGGGUAGCGGUGAAAUGCGUAGAUAUUAGGAGGAACACCAGUGGCGAAGGCGGCUUGCUGGACUGUAACUGACGGUGAGGCUCGAAAGCGUGGGGAGCAAACAGGAUUAGAUACCCUAGUAGUC
rnacentral:rRNA from 1 species